rnacentral:rRNA from 1 species
UACAUGGGGUGCAAACGUUGCUCGGAAUUAUUGGGCGUAAAGCGCACGUAGGCGGUUUGUUAAGUCGGAUGUGAAAUCCCUCGGCCCAACUGAGGAAGUGCAUCCGAAACUGGCAAGCUUGAGUACGAAAGAGGGUCGCGGAAUUCCCGGUGUAGAGGUGAAAUUCGUAGAUAUCGGGAGGAACACCGGUGGCGAAGGCGGCGACCUGGGUCGAUACUGACGCUGAGGUGCGAAAGCGUGGGGAGCAAACAGG